rnacentral:rRNA from 1 species
UAGGGAAUCUUCCACAAUGGACGCAAGUCUGAUGGAGCAACGCCGCGUGAGUGAAGAAGGUUUUCGGACCGUAAAGCUCUGUUGUUGGUGAAGAAGGAUAGAGGUAGUAACUGGCCUUUAUUUGACGGUAAUCAACCAGAAAGUCACGGCUAACUACGUGCCAGCAGCCGCGGUAAUCGUAGGUGGCAAGCGUUGUCCGGAUUUAUUGGGCGUAAAGCGAGCGCAGGCGGAAGAAUAAGUCUGAUGUGAAAGCCCUCGGCUUAACCGAGGAAUUGCAUCGGAAACUGUUUUUCUUGAGUGCAGAAGAGGAGAGUAGAACUC